rnacentral:tRNA from 1 species
GGGGAUGUAGUUUAAAGGUAGAAUGCCUGCAUAACAGGUCUAAGGCCUGGGUUCCAGUCCCAGUACCACCA